rnacentral:rRNA from 1 species
GUGGGGAAUAUUGCACAAUGGGCGGAAGCCUGAUGCAGCGACGCCGCGUGGGGGAUGACGGUCUUCGGAUUGUAAACUCCUUUCAGUAGGGACGAAGCGAGAGUGACGGUACCUGCAGAAGAAGCACCGGCCAACUACGUGCCAGCAGCCGCGGUAAUACGUAGGGUGCGAGCGUUGUCCGGAAUUACUGGGCGUAAAGAGCUCGUAGGCGGUUUGUCACGUCGUCUGUGAAAUCCUCCAGCUCAACUGGGGGCGUGCAGGCGAUACGGGCUGACUUGAGUACUACAGGGGAGACUGGAAUUCCUGGUGUAGCGGUGAAAUGCGCAGAUAUCAGGAGGAACACCGGUGGCGAAGGCGGGUCUCUGGGUAGUAACUGACGCUGAGGAGCGAAAGCAUGGGGAGCAAACAGGA